ensembl:lncRNA
CAGUCUCUCCCCACCUCUUUCCGCCUCUCCUCUCCCUCCCUUGCUCUGGCAGUGGGAAGAAGAUGAAAGAGAAGCCGCCGCAGCUGUGAUCGACACCACAGUGAUAGAUGCUCUGACAGAGGGGAUGAGGCGGGAAUCGGGGACACAGAGAAGGGAAAGGGGAAACAUAACACAUUGCUCAACUAAUGAGAGAACGGAAGCAAGAAGAACAAGAAAGAGUUGUGGCUUUCCUAAAUACAUGUAAAAGGACAAGGGAACACAUGCUAACAAAAAUAAAACCUCCAGACUUAACGAGAAAAAUAGGAGGAAGAAAAAACCGAAGACUGAAUCGUAAUUAUCGCUUUUUAAGCAAGAUCUUUUUCAUUACAUCCUCACCAUAGGAUGCUCACACACAGUUACACUAGGUCGCUCGUGUAUUUUCGAAGAUACAUGCCACAAUGUGUGGGAACCUCAUAAAGAACGAAAAAAACCACCCAAGUUGGGGGAGGGGAGGCAAAAGGACCCAGGAGAGUGAAGCCGGUAGAAGGAGGGAGGACAGGGCAGUCUCUGGCACCUCAGACUUUGGGCUCAAAGAGACCCUUGAAGAUGCAAAUCCAAAUUCAACCUCAAAAAUUUCCCAGCCUCCACUGUCUCUUUGAUGCAUUUUGUACAAGGACAGGACUUUUAAGGAGAUGCUUUGUGAAAGUUACAGUAUAAACGAAGCUGAAGUUUGAAAACAUCACAUUUUGUUCCUUGGCUCUCAAACUCCCUCAGUUAAAAAUCCAGGCAAAAUUAUUAUACCCAAUACAGUAGCCAUCUGUAAAACCUCAGAACAGUAAACAAGAGACAGGAAGAAAUGUGUCUCCAUCUCCCUUAAAUUGAAAAUGGGGAAAACAUUACAGAAUCAGACUUUAGCUCUGUUAUAUAGGAAUAGGCAUGUAAAGAUCCCUCUUCUUUUGUGUAAGGGAGAAAUUGCAUGCUGCUAGACAUCGUAUAAGUAAAGAUGUUAACAAUGCUCUAAACGAGCACUCAAAAUAUCGCUUAUUGGUAAUUACUUGAGAUGGGAAUCCACUAGGAAACAAUUUUUAAAACUAUCAUUUAAAGCAUUCAGUUGGUCUCAUAGAGCAUGGCCAGUAGUCACAGGGAAAAUUUCUGUCUCAGGUUCUGUUCAGUUCAGUCGCUCAGUCGUGUCCCACUCCUUGUGUCUCAGGUUAGGGUAACAUUAAAGGGCUGGUGAUGGGAGCCAGAGAGAGUAAAGCAUUAAAUCCUCUGCAAAUAGGUGAGAAUGCUAUGCCUUAAAGAAUAUUUUCUACAAUGUGUAAGGCAAUACUAAAAAGAUGGGGGGAAACCCAAUUUUACUUUUUGGUUGGUAACAUGCAACUUCACUAGGCACCGGUGAGUGUGAUGUCUCAGAGAUGUGAACAUGUAGCUAUGUCAGACAUUUAUUCCCUCUGUUUUGGAGAAGGAAAUGGCAACUCACUCCAGUAUUCUUGCCUGGGAAAUCCCAUGGACAGAGGAGCCUGGAAGGCUACAGUCAAUGGGGUCUCAGAGUCAGACACGACUUAGUGACUGAGCACACAUACCCUCUGUUCUAAAAGAAAUAUGGGAAAACAAAGUAAAAAGUCCUCCCAUAAAUGCGCCAAUUCGACGGACAGGAAAAGAACUGGAAAAUGCAGUUUCACCAAAACAGCCAGAGUAGAGAUUCCUUUUCAUCAGACUGUCAAGGGGUGGGGGUGGGGGGAUUUUCUGGAAGCCAAAGAGAUUAAAUGACGGCUCCUACAUCUGCCCCCCUCCCCGUUAAAGUGUCGCAACUAAUUCGAAUCCCAUUUACUCCUUCAUGUUAAUUAUCUGGACUCCCUGAGUCAUUUGGAGCUCAGCUCCAGGUGUCCUGGAGAUUAAGAGCUCGAGAAGAUGGGAAUUGGGGGAACAGUAACUAGUGGGAACUGUUUGCUAUAAGGGCUGAGGGUAGGUGGCUGCGUUUUGCAUUUUGCGGCAAACCUCACCUUUGGAAACACUGUUUCUAACGAAAUCACCCAGCGUCUUACUCUAUUUGCGUGACUGUUUUCCCUCCCCGUGGCGUGCGGGGUGUUUCGUUCGCUGAUUGUCCUUAGCAUUGUUGCAAGUCUUCUGACAAGGUGCAUUUAAAAGGGGCUUUUCUAGAAAGCAUUCAUUCAAGUUUUUUUUUUUUUAAAGCUUUGUCUGGGAGGGAGAUGGACAUUUCCACGCGAAGUCUGUCUCUUCAGGGAGAAAAGCUGGGAGACACUGGACGGGCGAGGCAACCCCGGGGAAGGCGUUCCUUCCCUCCUUUACAGGUUCAGUGAACUUCCUGGCAAAGGUAUUUGUGUCGCGGAGAGGUCUCUUCUAAUUCGUGUGGGGCUGCUAGUAACAUACACAGCCGCCUUUUGGGGCGCAAGGUCCGGGACCUGGUGGGUGUUGCGAGCGCGAGACACCGCCGCCCCCUUCUCUCGGAUGUAGAGGCAGGUUGUUCGUGUGAACUCGAGCGAACGACUGAAGGUUAGCUGUUGCAGGUUCACUCCUUCAGGAUGUGGGUUUCAGGGGGCGUUUUGAUGUGAUUUAAUUCCGACCGUGAAACAAUUGCUAAGGACUGGAUUGCUGUUGGUUUUUCCCCUUUUGGUGGCUUUGGUUGGUUGGGGUUUACAUUGGGAGCGAACUGUGACUUGUUUUAUAGCAACACUUCCUUCUAAGCCGGGCGCCGACGCCCGCGCUGUGCGUGGGGGGCGAAGCGCCCACCCUGCGCCGGAACAGGGAGAGAGGGGGGCUGCAAAGACGGUUCUCGAAGUCGGCAGGGUGCAUACAGCCCAGCCCCCCGCGGGUGCGGACAGGGGGACUAGACUGACCCCCACCCACACCAGAGACCCCUCCUACCUGUGGGGGGAAGGGGUCGCUGCCAAGUCAAGUCAGCUGCAGACACGCCAAUGAGUACUUAAUUACAGGGAAGAGAGAAAAGCGCGGUGCCCUUCAGAGCCCUCUCCGCCUCCUCAGCCCUAAGUCCCCGCCCGGGCUCCGGGUCUCCCCCUUUGUGUGGCCUGGACUCUCUCCCAGCGACAACUUUGGUGGGAUCCCAGAGGAAGGAGGUGGCCGGAGGAGGGGGUACGGAAAAGGAUGCUGGAAGAGAGAGACGCGAGCGUGAAGGACUAGAAAAACGAAUAAUGUGAUUCCAGGGACGGAACACCAACACCCCUCCAUUUCCCACCCCGGCGUCACCAGGGGACUAAAACUGUGGGCAUCUUCAGUUUAACGGACUUUUCGGAAAGCUGGGGCGGGAAAUGGCAGUUUGUGUCCCAGGGGUUCUUCCG